rnacentral:rRNA from 1 species
AUUGAACGCUGGCGGCAGGCCUAACACAUGCAAGUCGAGCGGAUGAAGGGAGCUUGCUCCUUGAUUCAGCGGCGGACGGGUGAGUAAUGCCUAGGAAUCUGCCUGGUAGUGUUGGAUAACGUCCGGAAACGGGCGCUAAUACCGCAUACGUCCUGAGGGCGAAAGUGUGGGAUCUUCGGACCUCCCGCUAUCAGAUGAUCCUAGGUCGGAUUAGCUAGUUGGUGGGGUAAAGGCCUACCAAGGCGACGAUCCGUAACUGGUCUGAGAGGAUGAUCAGCCACACUGGAACUGAGACACGGUCCAGACUCCUACGGGAGGCAGCAGUGGGGAAUAUUGGACAAUGGGCGAAAGCCUGAUCCAGCCAUGCCGCGUGUGUGAAGAAGGUCUUCGGAUUGUAAAGCACUUUAAGUUGGGAGGAAGGGCAGUAAGUUAAUACCUUGCUGUUUUGACGUUACCAAAAGAAUAAGCACCGGCUAACUUCGUG